rnacentral:lncRNA from 1 species
CUCCUUUCAGGAAGUCAUUUCACCCACUGGAGCAGCUGUAUUCAGGCAUGGCCAAGUCCAUGCUAGCUAGAUUCAUUAUCUGGAUUCAUGCCAGCCAGAGCUCCAACUGGUCUAGCCCCACAAGCACCUGGGUCUGGAUUCUGGCUGAUUUUCCUCUGUGGUCCAUUAUGACAUCACAAGCAGCCAGAAGAGAGUGGGCCAAAGGAGGGAGAUCAGGUACAUAGCUGUAAGGUAGCUUCAUCUAGCUUGUGUCCACUAGACUUGGGAAGCUUUCCUUUGAGGGCUGGAUAAGAGCACCUUCAUGAGAACCUAUUUGCAGGAGGACAGAAGUGGCUGAGCAGUGCAGCUAUGUAAGUCAACAGGCUGAGUUCCCUGAUUGGUGCUUCCAUCUAUUGCUAUUGUCCAUCUUGCCCAAGGAUCAAACAUCAGGUUCAAGCCCAGCCCACUUAUUAGUUAAGAUGGGCAUUUGUCCAGAAUAUAUGAUCUAUGGCAUUUCAAAUUCUGCAGAAGGGUGUGUAUGUGUCAAAUAGGCUGAUAGAGCCACAACUGAAUAUGGGGUCUUCUGUGUGCAAGACAAGUGCUCUUAGCUUCUGAGCUGCUUCUCAGAUUUAAUUGAGAAGUUUUAAAAUGUGAAGUAAUUGCAGCCAUUCAUUUAAUCCCUUUGGUUAACCUGUGUUGGUCUCCAACACUCAACUAGACAUGCCCUGGUCAAUUUAAGCUGUGUCUCAUGCUAAGGCAGCCAUCACAUACUUGGGAGUAAAUUCCAAGGAGCACAGCAAGGUUUACUACCCAAGAAACUUGUGCAACAUUGAGCUGCAUGAACACAAUACAGCUAUCAAUUAUGGGGAUGCAAGUUCGAUUCAUUCAAGCAGCAAAAGGGUUGCAGACACGAUAGAGCAGCCAGAGAAAUCCUUUUGGCACAUCUGAAGCAAAACACUUAAGAAUCAAGGAGGCCAAGAUACUUUCCAUUGGCUUGCUUAGUAAGCCCAUGUUUUAACUCCAUGUGCUAACACAGUUAAAACUACCCCAUUAUAUGAUUCCAUUUUGUCCUGGUUCAUGAUCCAACCCAAAGGUUGCACUUUUAAGUCGUAUUUAUUUCUGUGGCAGAGUGCUCUGCUUGCUUAGUUGGGACUGAGCCCCACUGAACUUGGCAAGACUUACUUCUUGGUAAACGUACAUGGGAUUGGAAGUUAGAUGUACUUAACUUUGGCUGGAUCAGGUCCAUGGCUCUGUUUUAUGGCUUUGCUUAGGCUCUGCAGCAGCCGAGCUAAUUCAUCAGGUGGUUAUUUCAUGUGAAAUACCUGCAUUUGCUGAUAAAAACCUGAGCUAGACAAAUCAGUUGUUUCCAGUAAAGUGUGCUGGCUGUGUUGAUAGCUAUUUCAUGAUAAAUUGAGGGGUGUGGUGUGCUUUUUAAAAAAGAAAAAAUGAUGAAUGACACUAUUUGUUUUUCUGGAUUUGAAAAGGAAUCCACAUUUUGCUGCCUCAGCAGCAGUUUGAGAAGCCAAGAUUUGUGGUGACUGUUCAGUUAGGAGUAUGACGGGAUCAGCAGAUCCUAGAUUUCAGCCACUUUGGUCAUUAAAUCAUUGUUCCAUUCCUUUUGCUCACCCACCUGCUGCCACCUCUGUCUCUCACUUCAGUCUUACUGUACCAAUUCAGUUCACCUGCUCAUCAGUGUGGCCACAAAAGAGUCAGGUACAAGAUAUUUUAGUAACCUCCCCAGAGUAACAACAGAAUAAAUCCAGCAACUGGCAUGUCUCCGGCCUAGGUCUUGCCCCACCACCUAUUGCCCGACCCUUUUCAUUGAAGGUUCUAGUGAAAAACAAAAAAAAUAAUAAGAUCAUGGCCACUGUUCACAUCACCUCCUGGCAAAUAGAAGGGGAAGAAAUGGAGACAGUGAAAGAUUUUACUUUCUUGGGCUCCAUGAUCAGUGCAGAUGGUGACAGCAGUCACGAAAUUAAAAGACGCCUGCUGUCACAGUCCGGCCUACAGGUGAUCGAAGUCCAGGCUGAGGAUGUCGGGACCGGGGGCAGGAUGGCGGGGUGGGAGCAGGAACGAGAGUCCAGAAGCCAGGGGUCCGAGGGUCAGGAAGCAGGGAGUCAUGAAGUCAAGGGUCUGAGGGCCAAGAAGCAAGAAGCCAAACACAGCAAGGCAGGAAAUGUGUUGCUGUGGCAAAGAGCCGAAGGGAAAUGCUGACGUUUUAUCCCUUCCCAGCUCUAGCCACCAGGCACAGUGAGUUACCAAUUGGCCUCACCUGUGCCUCUCCAGAACAAACUUAGGAAGGCCCCAGUCCUGCGAAGUCCUACUGGUCACAGGGCCCGGCUCCUGCACGCACUCCUGACACCUGCUCCUUGGGAGAAAAGCAAUGACAAACCUAGAGAGCAUCUUAAAAAGCAGAGACAUCACCUUGCCAACAAAGGUCCAUAUCGUUAAAGCUAUGGUUUUCCCAGUCGCUGAAGAAUGGAUGCUUUUGAAUUAUGGUGCUGGAGGAGACUCUUGAGAGUCCCAUGGACUGCAAGGAGAUCAAACCUCUCCAUUCUUAAGGAAAUCAGCCCUGAGUGCUCACUGGAAGGACAGAUUCUGAAGCUGAGGCUCCAAUACUUUGGCCACCUCAUGAAAAGAGAAGACUCCCUGAAAAAGACCCUGAUGCUGGGAAAGAUUGAGGGCACUAGGAGAAGGGGACGACAGAGGACGAGAUGGUUGGACAGUGUUCUCAAAGCUACCAAUAUGAGUUUGACCAAACUGCGGGAGGCAGUGGAAGACAGGAGUGCCUGGCGUGCUCUGGUCCAUGGGGUCACAAAGAGUCGGACAUGACUAAACAACAACAAAGUAUGUAUUGUAGUAUUUUAUGCAUUGUGACAUUGUUAUUUUUAUUGAUUAUGGUUUAGUAAUUUAUUGCAAUUAAGAGUGAAUUUUUGUUUAAUUGUUAUUUGCUGCUAUUUAAUUUUAUUGUGUACUAUUAUGUUUAAUGGAUUAUUCAACAUUAUUUGAUAAAAGUUG